CUUCCACCCACAGAAUCAGUUCAGAACAGCAGACCUGAGAAGCGCCUUAGUCAUCCAUCAACUUUCUUAAAGAUCGUGACCUAAACGUCUGCUUUAAAGAUGAAGAAACUGCAUAGAAACAACAACAAAAAGCUGGUUACUGGGUUCCAGUGUGGGUGGAUUAAUCAGCAUGACCCACUGACGGAGAUCUGUCAGCAGUGCUUGGAUUCGUGCCUGCUGGAGAAUGCUGGUGAGGUCAGCAAGGAAAGUGGCCUAGAAGAGAUGCCAGGAGCCAUUUCCAGAGCGGCCCCUGUGCUCCACCUCCUGCAUCUGCACUGUGAGCUCCAUGAGGUCAACAGCAAAAAGAAAAUAACAAAACUGAAGGAAAUUCCAAUCAAGAUGGAGAAAGUAAGACACAGCAGAUCUCCAUGACAACAGUGACCUCAGCUGCCAAGUGCCAGGCACAUGUUGAGGACUAUGAGCAUCAUCUGAUAGCUGCCCCACCCAAAGGAAGCUAGCAUGGUCCCCAUUUCACAG
rnacentral:lncRNA from 1 species